rnacentral:rRNA from 1 species
CCUACGGGAGGCAGCAGUGGGGAAUAUUGCACAAUGGGGGAAACCCUGAUGCAGCGACGCCGCGUGCGUGAAGAAGUAAUUCGUUAUGUAAAGCGCUAUCAGCAGGGAAGAAAAUGACGGUACCUGAGUAAGACGCCCCGGCUAACUACGUGCCAGCAGCCGCGGUAUUACGUAGGGGGCAAGCGUUAUCCGUAUUUACUGGGUGUAAAGGGGGCGUAGACGGCAGUGCAAGUAUGGGGUGAAAGGCGGGGGCUCAACCCCCGGACUGCACUGGAAACUGUACGGCUGGAGUGCAGGAGAGGUAAGUGGAAUUCCUAGUGUAGCGGUGAAAUGCGUAGAUAUUAGGAGGAACACCAGUGGCGAAGGCGGCUUACUGGACUGAUACUGACGUUGAGGCACGAAAGCGUGGGGAGCAAACAGGAUUAGAUACCCUUGUAGUC